rnacentral:rRNA from 1 species
UGCCAGCCGCCGCGGUAACACGUACCGGACAAACGUUGUUCGGAAUUACUGGGCGUAAAGCGUACGUAGGCGGAUUAGAAAGUAUGGGGUGAAAUCCCAGGGCUCAACCCUGGAACUGUCUCAUAAACUACUAGUCUAGAGUUCGAGAGAGGUGAGUGGAACUCCGAGUGUAGAGGUGAAAUUCGUAGAUAUUCGGAAGAACACCAGUGGCGAAGGCGGCUCACUGGCUCGAUACUGACGCUGAGGUACGAAAGUGUGGGGAGCAAACAGGAUUAGAUA